rnacentral:rRNA from 1 species
GAUGAACGCUAGCGGGAGGCCUAACACAUGCAAGCCGAGCGGUAGAGAUCUUUCGGGAUCUUGAGAGCGGCGUACGGGUGCGGAACACGUGUGCAACCUGCCUUUAUCAGGGGGAUAGCCUUUCGAAAGGAAGAUUAAUACCUCAUAAUAUAUUGAAUGGCAUCAUUUGAUAUUGAAAACUCCGGUGGAUAGAGAUGGGCACGCGCAAGAUUAGAUAGUUGGUAGGGUAACGGCCUACCAAGUCAGUGAUCUUUAGGGGGCCUGAGAGGGUGAUCCCCCACACUGGUACUGAGACACGGACCAGACUCCUACGGGAGGCAGCAGUGAGGAAUAUUGGACAAUGGGUGAGAGCCUGAUCCAGCCAUCCCGCGUGAAGGACGACGGCCCUAUGGGUUGUAAACUUCUUUUGUAUAGGGAUAAACCUUUCCACGUGUGGAAAGCUGAAGGUACUAUACGAAUAAGCACCGGCUAACUCCGUG